UGGGGAAUCUUGGACAAUGGGGGCAACCCUGAUCCAGCCAUGCCGCGUGGGUGAAGAAGGCCUUAGGGUUGUAAAGCCCUUUCAGUCGUGACGAUGAUGACGGUAGCGACAGAAGAAGCCCCGGCUAACUCCGUGCCAGCAGCCGCGGUAAUACGGUGGGGGCAAGCGUUGUUCGGAUUUACUGGGCGUAAAGGGCGCGUAGGCGGACGGUCAAGUCAGAGGUCAAAGCCGCGGGCUCAACCUGGGACGUGCCUUUGAAACUGAUUGUCUUGAGUCCGGAAGAGGGUGACGGAAUUCCCAGUGUAGAGGUGAAAUUCGUAGAUAUUCGGAGGAACACCAGUGGCGAAGGCGGCUCGCUGGCUCGAUCCUGACGCUGAGGCGCGAAAGUGUGGGGAGCAAACAGGAUUAGAUACCCCCGUAGUCC
rnacentral:rRNA from 1 species